rnacentral:rRNA from 1 species
AUGACCCGAGUGGACGCCGAACUCUGGCCUCAGGCAGAACUUUCUCAAAGUCUCGAGUCGCUCAUGACUCGACUCAAUCAGAUCCCUGACCAAGUGCAAGAGUGGAAGAAGUCCUCUGCCUGCUGUGGUGCUGACGUCACCUUGUCAUUGGUUCGCGUGCACUUCAAGGAGGCUAAAGAAGAGAAGCUGGCGGCCCUCAAGGUAGCAAAUACUAAGAAGCACUCCUUCCAGGACUUCAUGGACACCUUCCUCGAGGCAGCUACCCGCAUUGCCGACAGCAUCGAUCUUGACAGCUUCUGCGAUCCGUCCAGCCCUUCUCCCGUCGAGUGA